rnacentral:rRNA from 1 species
UACGUAGGGUGCAGGCGUUAAUCGGAAUUACUGGGCGUAAAGCGUGCGCAGGCGGCUUCCUAAGUCAGAUGUGAAAUCCCCGGGCUUAACCUGGGAACUGCGUUUGUGACUGUGUGACUAGAGUACGGCAGAGGGGGGUGGAAUUCCUGGUGUAGCAGUGAAAUGCGUAGAUAUCAGGAGGAACAUCGAUGGCGAAGGCAGCCCCCUGGGCCUGUACUGACGCUCAUGCACGAAAGCGUGGGGAGCAAACAGG